GACGAACGCUGGCGGCAUGCCUAAUACAUGCAAGUCGAGCGAACAGAUGAAGUGCUUGCACUUCUGACGUUAGCGGCGAACGGGGGAGUAACACGUAAGGAAUCUACCUAUAAGCGGGGGAUAACAUUCGGAAACGGGUGCUAAUACCGCAUAAUAUCUUCUUCCGCAUGGAAGAAGAUUGAAAGACGGCUCUGAUGUCACUUAUAGAUGACCUUGCGGUGCAUUAGUUAGUUGGUUGGGUAAUGGCCUACCCAGACGAUGAUGCAUAGCCGACCUGAGAGGGUGAUCGGCCACAUUGGGACUGAGCCACGGCCCAAACUCCUACGGGAGGCAGCAGUAGGGAAUCUUCCGCAAUGGGCGAAAGCCUGACGGAGCAAUGCCGCGUGAGUGAAGAAGGCCUUCGGGUCGUAAAACUCUGUUAUAAGAGAAGAACAAAUUGUAGAGUAACUGCUACAGUCUUGACGGUAUCUUAUCAGAAAGCCACGGCUAACUACGUGCCAGCCGCCGCCGUAA
rnacentral:rRNA from 1 species